GGUUCAGUGGUCUAAUGGUUAUGAUUUCUGUCUCACACGCUUACAGCUCACAGAAGGUUCCCGGUUCGAUCCCGGGCUGAACCA